CAGUGAUAGAGGUGACAUAUGUUCUGUCCCUCCCCUGCAGAAAACUCAGGAAUAGUCCCCCGUGGUUGUUCCCUCCCCUCUCAACAUGUCAGCCACAAGAGCGCAGGAUCACACCAGCAGGAGGCGAGCAAGGUCGGAUUGUCCAAGGCCUGCUGUGCUCCUUGGGGAUGUGACCAGAGCUCUGAAGCACAGGCUCCCCAAGUGUGCUCUUCCCUUGCCCCUCGAGUGUGGCAUCCUCCCUCAGCUUGUAUGUCUGGGCUUCAUGUUCUGAGGCAGGAAACUGGAUGUUGCUGAGGUACAGCUGCUCAGCUGGGACCACAGGAGGCAGAAGCAGAAGGUGAGAAACAGGAGAGGACAUAAAGUGGGCACCUUCUCAUCAAGGACUGGAGCCUAGCCUGGGAGGCCUCUUUCCUGCUGAAUAUGAUCACAAUAGCAGAAUAACAGUAGCUCCUAAUUCUUGCCCAUUUACUGUACAUCUCUGACAGGCAUGCUGCAAGUAAUUUAUAUGCAUCAUUUCAUUUAAUCCUUUCAGCAAUCUGUGAGGUACGUGCUGUGAUGAUGUUCAUGACACACACGGGGCUGGUAGAAGUUAAAUUACCUAGACCACACUGUCAGAAAAAGUUAGGAUUCCAAUACAGCCUAUCUGACUUCAGAUGCCUCUCAGAUAUGUUCCUGGUCUUGCAGGGGUUUUUCUUGGUGGUGCUUCAAAGCCUCAUGGAGCAGGACCUCUCUGAUGACCUCAAGGCAAAACUCUGCAAAAGAACCCCAGCAGGGUAUGAGGCUGGAGGGCCUGUGGGGGCU
rnacentral:lncRNA from 1 species